rnacentral:rRNA from 1 species
GUGACCUCAAAUCAGGUAGGACUACCCGCUGAACUUAAGCAUAUCAAUAAGCGGAGGAAAAGAACUAACAAGGAUCCCCUAGUAACUGCGAGUGAAGCGGGAAAAGCUCAAAUUUAAA